rnacentral:rRNA from 1 species
UACAGAGGGUGCGAGCGUUGUUCGGAAUUAUUGGGCGUAAAGGGCGCGUAGGCGGUGCGGUAAGUCACCUGUGAAAUCUCCUGGCUCAACUGGGAGCUUGCAGGCGAAACUGCCGUGCUGGAGUGUGGGAGAGGUGCGUGGAAUUCCUGGUGUAGCGGUGAAAUGCGUAGAUAUCAGGAGGAACACCUGUGGCGAAAGCGGCGCACUGGACCACAACUGACGCUGAGACGCGAAAGCGUGGGGAGCGAACAGG